UCAUGGAUGCACAUGGAUUUAGCCUGCAGAAACGAUACAAACAAAAAGUACUAAUUCAGUUUCAAUUGCGUUUGUAAUUUAGUUGCUCAAAGUAUUACAAUGAUAAAAUGUAUUUCUUCUCCCUUCUUUUAGUGUAUUGAACUCAAUUCACUUUGAAAAAAGACUACUUGGUUUUUCACAAAACCUGAAAUUAAACAGUAACAACAUUUUUGUGAAACUUAUUGUUGGGUGGAUGUCUGGCCA
rnacentral:lncRNA from 1 species